GAAAGGAAGAGGAGAAAAAAGAUUUCUAGAAUAUGACGGAGGUUGAGAUGAAGCUUCUUAAUGGAGUAAAAUAAUUUUAAAUAGUCGAAAGAUAGGACUGCUAAGUCCGAAAUUCAGAGAAGCCUUAAAUUAAAGAGCAGCCUUUUAGAUGAUAAUAAAGCGUAGAUGAGAUAGAUAGAACCUAAAGGUCGUUUUUAAAAGUCAAAUUGUGGAUGAUAAAAAUAUUCUAAAAGGCCUGUUUUAAAGAUUGAAUUGAAGGUGAUUUAAGAGCGCCUUCAAAUUCGUGGCGCAGGAAAGAUUGCGUUAUUUGAAGCCUAGUUGAUCUUAAGGCAUUAUUUGCUAAAAAUUGACGGAAAUACCAAUUAAGAGUGGUAGGAUAAAAAUAUGGAGAAAGAAGAUUAGAAAUUAGAAGUGGAAAACUCAGAAGACAGAAGUACAGGAAGGUGAAGAAAAGUCUUAGAAGAUAGGAAAACUAGAAGAUGAGACAGACGCCAUCUAGAAGACAGGAAAACUAAUUUUAAACCCGAAAGGUAGGAAGCAGAAGAAAAAGUAUUUAGACAAACUGGGAAACCAAAGCAACUAAAGGCGCAGAUAGAAAUUUAGUAAACUAGAAGAUAGAAACAAGGUUGAAAAUACUGUCAAGGAAAAGUGUUUCAGAUAGAAAAUGAAAAGCUAAGACAACUAUUGGAUACAAGCGUACAAGAUAGACGUCAAAAAUUUAGAAAAAUUUAAAGCCAAAAGAUUGGAUAAACUACAAGAAAAGAAAAACUAGGGAAAUUAAUUAUAAUACUAAGAAUUUCUUAUAAAAGCCUACCAAUUUAAUCUCCGGUGAUGCAGAAGUUAGAUUUGAGAUGAGGGUCAAACUACUGUAGACCAGGACCAACUUAGAAGAAUAUCUGGAAUCUGAAAGGGAAGUAAGUUAAAAAUCACAGCAAAAAGCUACUAAAAGGACUGAAGUAAUUUAAAAAUUAAGAAUGGUUUUGGAAGAGUUAAAAAUUCGGAACGCCUUAAGUAUAGUAGCUUAGUUUUCUUUGGAAAAUUUAAAGGACUUGCAUAACAAUUGAAGAUCAAGAAUAACCACCAACUUAGCAUUUUUGCAUUGGACUUUGAGUUAAGAUGAUUCGUUAAGCCCUGAGGACUAGCGUUAAUUGGCAGCUGACCCAGGUGCUACACAGAAGUGGAUUGAGCGAAUCUAGGAAGACAGGAUUCCAGGAGCCAGUGUUUGGUGAAGCUAGGACUGAGGAGCGAGCAGCAGUUCGUGCUGAAGAUAGGAAGGAGGAGUCCGGGAGCCAGUGCGGUGUGGUGAAGGCAGCUAGGAAGAAGGAAGGAGCCCUAACGAUUGGAGGUGGAGCUAGGAGAGGAUUCCAGGAAGGAGGAGCCGGCGCGGUGUGGUGAUGAAGCUAGCGGGCGGCUUGGCUUGGCGACCACGCGGCGGCGGCGAGCAGGCGGAGUGGAGGAUAGAUAGAGGAUCCUAGAGCAGCAGCCCAGUGUGCAAGGCCGCAGGGAGAGCGAGUGGCGUGGUAAAAAUCCGUCAGGUCGGCGAUACCGUGGUGGUUUGUUUUUUUUGGCAACUUGAGUAUGGUAAUCUUCACUUUCUUAAUGGUAAUGGGGGAGUUGUGUACUUAAGCGUCAAGGGAUUUAUUACGCGGGUGUAGGCCGAUUUCCGGGUGUUGUAGGUUUCUCUUUUUCAGGCUUAUGUUCUCAUGCAUCUUGUCUGAAGCUUUUGAGGGCAGACUUCCAAGCCCGGAGGAAUGGUAGAUGGCAAGUUUUUUUUUUUUAAACCAAUUUGAGGGAAACCAAAUGGGUUUGGUAGAACAACUUUGAGACAGCGUUUUGGCAAGUUUUGUAAGCAGUUUUUAUUUUUAGCUUGGAGUAGUGAAGCAUUUCAGUUCUGUGAAUGGAUGACCCGUUUUUCUUUCCUCACCCCGUAUUAAAGUUUUCUAAAUGUGGACCUCGGUGUGUAACUGGGGGGGUAAGUCUUGUGGGGUUGGGGGGCAAAAUAUGUUUUGAGUUCUUUUCCCCUUAGGUCGGUCUGUCUAGACUCCCAAAGGCAAAUGACUCGAGUUAUCAGGAAAAAAGAAAAUCCAGUAUCAGGAUAAUCAGAACACCACAGGUUUACAGUUUCUAGAAACUAAAAUACGAGCUGCUCUCACUUUGAGGUCUGUGGCAGAAGUAUCCAUUGGAGAAAUGGCUGGUAGUUAUUCUUUUUUCCACCCCGUAAUCAGAUUUUCAGAUUUUCAAAGUACGUAACUUCUUAAACGCAUUGUUUUUACUUGAAGUAUUUUGGGAUGGGCUUAACAGGGAAAAGGGUGGGGGAGGAAAUGUUUUUUUUCCCUAAGAUUUUCCACAGAUGCUAUAGUACUAUUGACAAACUGGGUUAGAGAAGGAUUGUACUGCUAUGCUGUUGGCACGAACACCUUCAGGGACUGGAGCUGCUUUUUUCCUUGGAAGAGUAUUCCCAGUUGAAGCUGAAAUUACAGCACAGUGCAGCUUUGGUUCAUAUUCAGUCAUCUCAGGAGAACUUCAGAAGAGCUUGACUAGGCCAAAUGUUGAAGUUAAGUUUUCAAAUGUGUCUUUAAAAAUACCUUUUAUUAAAGGGGAGGGGCAAAUUUUGGUGAUGAGUAGUUGGCAGUGGCCUGUUUGGUUGGGUUUGGGAGGGUUGGGUUUAGGUAAUUGUUUAGUUUAUGAUUUCAGAUAACUCAUGCAGAGAACUUAAAUACUUAGGAUGGAAAAACUAAAGAAAUCUCAACUUCCAAGUUGGCAAGUAACUCGCAAUCCUCUAGUUUUUGUUUUAUCCCAAUUUUUGAAUUGGGCAGCUGGGGAAGUUCUUGAAGAUCCACCGGAUUCGAAGUGUAGGGCCUUGGGAAGGAAAAUAUUGGACUGGGGGUUGAUCUAGCCCACGGGGCUGACUUAGAUAAAAUCUUGGGAAUUUUUUAAAACGCUGAAGUUGUUUGGAUGUGGUAGUAUGUGGUUCUCUUUUGGAAUGUUUUUCAGGUGAUUUAAUGUAACUUAAUACUACUGUAGGAGCUUCAGAGCAAAGGAAGUGGCUUAAUGAUCCUGAAGGGAUUUCUUCUGAUGGUAGCUUUUGUAUUAUCAAGUAAGAUUCUAUUUUCAGUUGUGUAUAAACAAGUUUUUUUUUAGUGUAGGAAAAAUAUUUUUCCUUUCUGACUGCAAAACAAGAUGUUAAGGUAUGCUUCAAAAUUAUUGUAAAUUGUAUAUUUUAAAUUUGCAUCUUAAGUAUUUGAAAGUCAUAACUGAUAAAAGGGUGGGCUUUUGUUGAUGAGGGAGGGGAAACCUUUUUUUUUCUGUAGACUUUUUUCAGAUAACAUCUUCUGAGUCAUAACCAGCCUGGCAAUAUGACGGCCUAGAUGGAGAGGGAACAGCUCCUUGGUGAAUGAUAAGUAAAGGCAGAAAAGAUUAUAUUGCAUAUCUCCAUUGGGGAAAAAGCGUAACCCUGAGAUCCUUACUACUGAUGAACACAUUGUCUGCAUAUGCCAAAAAAAAAAAAAAUUGAGCAAAUGAAAACUACCGAUUUAAAGUUAAUGGAAUCUACCAAUUUAAAAUUAAUGGAAUCUACCAUUUUAAAGUUAAUGGAAUCUACCAUUUUAAAGUUAAUGGCUUAUCAAGCUCAUACCCACAAAAAUAACGAAUUGAUGAAAAAUACAAGGAAGAUCAAAUGUCCAUCUCCAACUACUGCUUUUACAAAAGCAGAAUAAAAAAGUGAAAUGAAAAUGAUACUACAUUAAUCCUGGAAUAAAAGAAGCUGAAAUAAUUCAGAGAUGAGUGGGAUCAAGUGGAUUGAGACGAGGCUGUGCUGUUUGCCAAUCUUUCGUUUGCCUCAGACAGGUUUCUCUUCAUUAUCAGAAGAGUUGCUUCAUUCCAUCUGGGAGCAGAAAACAGCAGGCAGCUGUUAACAGAUAAGUUUAACUUGCAUCUGCUGUAUUGCAUGUUAGGGAUAAGUGCUUAUUUUUAUUAAGAAGCUAUUAAGUAUUCAACAUGACCAUUUUUCCUGAUCCUUUCCCCAGGGGAUUCCAGGAUUGUGAGAAAUUUUCCCAUCUAGCCUUUUUAAAAUUAGACAGGCCUUGUGCCUGUAGGCUUCCAUGAUGGGCUAACACACCUCACUCAGAGGCAAGUAAUUCUUAAAAGCCUCUUGAGAUGAGUACCUUAAUAAUCACAAGGUAAUGUUUACAAAACUAAGGAAAUUUGUUGAGCAUUGAAUCUCUGAAAACCCCAUGAAAGGAUAGCAUUAAUGUGCUGUUAACAAAAAUAAGAUAUGUUAAUGUUGUGUAUAUUGUGCAGAAAACCAUUAAAUCGUUCAAAAUAAAACAUUUUAAUAGAGAAUGUAUGCUUUUAGAAAGCUGUGUCCUUAUUUAAAUAAAAUAUUGUUUGUUUGUAGUUAGUGUUGGGCAAUCUUGGGGGGAUUCUUCUCAUCUUUCAGAAACUUGGUCUUCGGACACCCUUUAAUGGACAAGAUCAGGAGUUGAGCAGAAGAACGAAUAUAACUUAAGGCAGGAAAGACAUUUUAUCCUUCGUAAAGUGAUGAGCAUUUUAAUAAUUCCAGGCAUAUGGCAAUAGAGGCCCUCUAAAUAAGGAGUAAAUACCUCUUAGACAGGUGGGAGAUUAUGAUCAGAAUAACAGGUAACUACACUUACACUGUUUCCAGAGACUUAGGGAUCUAUACAUUGACAGUUGUUAAACUAGAGUAAUAAAAUACUGUGACAUUUCCGAAGUUUGCAUGUUAACUUUAAAUGCUUACGAUCAUCUCAUCUAGUGUUAGCUGGUGUUUACACUAUUGGCCUUUUCUAUGGGCACUUGGGGGGACAUGUGGGUUUUGAAAGAAUUUUCCUUUGCAGAGGCUUCAUUUCAUCCCUCAUGAGGCUAUUCAGGAUUUUGACUUGCAUAUAAGCUCUUGGCUCUGCCUUCUGUUCUCCUAGUGAGAGUGUGAGACCUUGCAGUGAGUUUAUCAGCAUACUUGAGUAAAUUUUUUCUCCUGAUUUUGGAGGGAAGGGGGGGUGGGGCUUACUUGUUUUAGUUUUUUUUUGCAGACUACACAGAGAAUGCAGUUGUCUUGACUUCUGGUCUGUCUGUUCUGUUGGCAAGUAAUAAUGCAGUACUGUUCUGAUCCGCUGCUAUUAGAAUGCAUUGUGAAACGACUGGAGUAUGAUUAAAAGUUGUGUUUUCCCUCAAUGCUUGGAGUAGUGAUUGUUGAAGGAAAAUCCAGCUGAGUGAUAAAGGCUGAGUGUUGAGGAAAUUUCUGCAGCUUUAAGCAUUCAUGUUUGUGAUUGAAUCCAAGUACCUUUUGCUGUGCUUUAGGUAAAAUGCUUUUUGUUCACUUCUGGUAGGGGGGUGGGGAGGGCACUGAAGCCUUUAGUCUUUUCCAGAUGCAACCUUAAAAUCAGAGACAAGAAAUAAAUUCCAAACAAGCAACACUCUACAAGAAAUUUAACUGGCAAGUGGAAAUGUUUAACAGUUCAGUGGUCUUAGUGUAUUGUCUUUGUGUGGGUUUCUCUCUCCCCUCCCUUGGUCUUAAUUCUUAUAUGCAGGAACAUUCAAAACAGCAGACGUAUUCGAAGGGCCAGAGAAGCCAGACCCAGUAAGGAAAAGUAGCUUAUUUACUUUAAAUAAACAAAGAUUCCAUUUUAAAUGUGGGGAUUGGGAACCACUAGUUCUUUCAGAUGGUAAUCUUCAGACUAUA